rnacentral:lncRNA from 10 species
GGAACAAACUCCAGACGCGCCACCUUAAGAGCUAUAACACUCACCGCAAGGGUCCGCGGCUUCAUUCUUGAAGUCAGCGAGACCAAGAACCCACCAAUUCCGGACACACCAUGGCCACGAAAAUUCAGGCUCAUAAACAAUUUGAAUGAAAGACUCUUCCCUUAGUGGAGGCCCAGAAGAAAUAAAAAGUGGGUCACCAGAGGUGGAAUGUCUGAGCCCCAGACAGACAAUGACAAAAGAGUGAGACAUGAUAAUAUGACCUGGAUUUCUAUGAAAUGUCAUUUAAGCGUGGAUUUAACUGUGGACCCAAAGCAUUAUGCUCUACAAAUGGAGUGAGUUCAUCUUCUUUUUCCAGGAACUACUGUCCUUCCAGACUCGACUGAUCAGCUUUCCUUUGAAGAUUUUCCUUAUCUUUCUCCAUCCAACUCGGAACAAAGGGUAAAUCAGGUAAAAUCAAACAAGGUGAAGCCAGGCAUGUAAUUAGCUCUCAAAAUAUAUGUUGUAAACUCCUGCAUGCUUUCCAGAAAUGGUUUACAACUUUAGUUUUAUACUUGCUAGCAAAUAAAGGCAUUGGCAGGAUCAGUAAUGGUUCAGUGUCUACAUGCUUAUAAAUAUACAAGUUGCAAAGAAGAACACGCUCAUGGCUGGUACUCACAUGAGAGAGAAGUUUCUCCUGUGGGCCCUCUUAAAGAAAAAAGUGUGUAAUAUAGUGAAGAAUCAUUAAAUGACAGUCUCACAGUAAACACAGUGGCUUUCAAAAAUCUGUUUCUUCUAACAUCACUCAGCAUAAGCUUAUGGCAAAAUGCCACUCCACAAUUUAGUAAGCACAUUCCCACAGGAACCAGAACAGUGUUACAGAAUUUUUGCUUGCCUGGCUUAGACACGAUAGAUUUAAGAGGAGCUAGGUGAAUGGACAGACACCACGUCCUUCAGGCAAUCUUUCAUAAAUAUUGUUUCUCCCAGCUGAGCUUCUGAAAAAUGUUGAAUGGCAGUGAGUUGAAGAUUAUAUUCUCUGACAAGUACCUGGAGUGAAGCUAUUCUGUUUUUCCGGUUAAGUGCAAAGCCAUAUGUUUUAACAGCUCCUCAACCCAGAGGCCGGAUUGACAUUUUCUUAUGAAAGUUGACAAGUCUGACAAGAACAAAUGCUUGAAGAGAAAGCCACUCCAUCUGCACAUAGAGAUAAACAAGGGAGUACCUACGGGAAGGGCCAAGAUUCUUUUCAAAAAGCAAUUACUCUCCUGCUCACAAAAAAAGGAAUCAUCAGAGUGCCGAAGAUCGUUGCCAUAUGAUAAGAGCAUAAUAAUUUUAAGCUAGAUUAAUUUUAACGUUUUAACAAAAUACCAUGCCCAUUUGCCAAAAAACAAAUUUUGUUUCACCCUACUAUUGCCAUCUGUGUCCAAAAAUAUUUUAUAUCAAUUUGUUCCAAAGAGAGGAGAGUGUUCCUCAAACAAACAAAAAAAUAGAUUUUUUGUCAAUUCUUCUAAUGAGUGGGGCAUUCAUCAUGAUAAGGAAGUGAAGACCAGAAAAAUGGCUGACUGUCUUCUUAUACAUGCUUGCUUAGGUUGCAUAUUACCCUUCUGAGAGAAUCCCACCAUUCCUCUCUCUUUUUCUUCUAAGUCUUUCUCCCAUACACCUGAGGUAGGAGGAUCUGAGAGAGUUCUGGCUAGUAUCGUUGCCACCAUAAAAAUCCUGGUACAGGCAGAUUAAGCUGGCUCUUCUCUUGCUUUAAGAAAAAUAUAUUUUACUCUUCCUACUGUCACUAUAAAGGGGCCAAAGGAGCUAUCCAUUUGUCAAGUCUAAGUCAUCAAGUUCAACCAGGGAUUUGGAACAAAAGCCUUUGCUGGGGGGCUGGCCCUUUACAUACUUAUUGCCCACAGAGCCUUAAAGACAAUAUAUAGAGAUAUACCUGGGAAAAUACAAUCAUAAUAGUGUUUGGCAGUGGUGAAUAGUGAAAUAACAGUGCCUAGGACUUGUAACCCCUUGGGAAAAGGCAAACUUACAAAAAAUGUAUCAAGAAAUAAAGUAAUAUAAUUAUCUAUAAUUUGAAUGGAGUAAACAACUGUCCUCAGUAAGAAUGAAGUGAUGCCCUGAUUUCAAUAAUGGACAGAACAUUCAGACAGAAAAUCAAUAAGGAAACAAUGAACUUGAACACCACUGUAGACCAAAUGAGCCUAACAGACAUACGAAACAUUCUACCCAGCAUAAGCAGAAUACACAUUAUUCUCAAGCGCAUAUGGAAUAUUCUCCAGGACAGACCACAAAACAAGUCCUAACAAUUUUAAGUAAAUAUACUUUAAGAGAUUGAAAUUAUAUCAACAUAUUUUCCAACCACAAUAAUAUUAAACUAGCACGUAAUAACAUCAGGAAAAUUAUAAAAUUUACAAAUACCUGGAAAUUACACAUUACACACCUAAACAACAAAUAGGUCAAAGAAGAAAACAAAAAGAAAAUCUGAAAAGAUCCUGAAAUAAAUGGAAAUAAAAAUACAGCAUACUAUUACUUACUUAAUAAAAGCAGUUUUAAGAGAGUUUAUAGCAAUAAACAAAAAACAAACAAAAAAACUAUAGUUAGAUACCACUUCACACUGUUAUGAUGACUGUUAUCAAAACCAAACAAAGAUAAUAAAGGUUGGGGAGAAUGUGAAGAAAUUGAAGCACUUUUAUACAGUUAGUGGGCAUGUUAAAUGGUGCAGCAGCUAUUUAGUGCAGUAUGGAGGUUCCUCAAAACAUUAAAAAUAAAUCUAUCAUAUGAUCCAGCCAUUCCACUUCUGGGUAUAUAUUCAAAAGAAUUGAAAUCAGGAUCUCAAAGAGAUACCUACACAUCCAUGUUCAUUGCAGCAUUAUUCAUAAUAGCCAAAAUAUGAAAACCACCCCAAGUGGACAUGGACAGAAGAAUGGAAAAAGAAAAUGUGGUAUAUGUAUACAAUGGAAACUUAUUCAGUCUUUAAAAAGACAGAAAUCUUGCCAUUUACAACAACCUGGAUAAACCUGGUGGCUAUUACCCUAAGGGAAAUAAGCCAGGCAUGGAAGGACAAAUAGUCCAUGAUUCCACUUCUGAGUUAUCUGUAACAGUCAAACUCAUAGAAGCAGAGAAUACAAUAGUGGUUGGCAGGGGCUAGGAAGUGGAGAAAACGAGGUGUUCAUUAGAUAUAAAGUUACACUUAUGCCAGAUAAAUAAGUUCUAGAGUUCUUCUGUAUUACGUAUUGCCUGUAGUUAAUAAGAUGGUAUUGUGCACCUCAAAAUUUGUUGAGUGUAGAUUUCUUAUUAAAUAUUCUUAACACACGCACAUGCACACACACACACACAAGGGACGUAAGGAAACUGAGAGGUGUUGAAUAUGUCUAUUACCUUGAUUAUGGUGGUGGUAUCAGGAGUACUUUCAUAUAUCCAUACCUAUUAAAGUAUACACAUUAAAUAUGUGCAGUUCUCUGUAUAUCAAUCAUACCUCAAUAAAGCUGUUUUUAAAAUGAAGGAAUGGAACAGAGAUUAAAUCCCAUCAGAGGAGAUCUACUCAGACCGUUGAUAAAGUUUAUCUAAUUUCUCUAUACCUCAAUAAAGCUGUUUUUAAAAAUGAAGGAAUGGAACAGAG